rnacentral:tRNA from 1 species
GGACCCGAUGGACUGGUCUCCUCGGCACCACCGGCGGC